UACGGGGGGGGCAAGCGUUGUUCGGAAUUACUGGGCGUAAAGGGCUCGUAGGUGGCCAACUAAGUCAGACGUGAAAUCCCCAGGCUCAACUUGGGAACUGCGUCUGAUACUGGAUGGCUUGAAUUCGGGAGAGGGAUGCAGAAUUCCAGGUGUAGCGGUGAAAUGCGUAGAUAUCAGGAGGAACACCGGUGGCGAAGGCGGGAUCCUGGGCCAGUACUGACGCUGAGGAGCGAAAGCGUGGGGAGCAAACAGG
rnacentral:rRNA from 1 species